CAUCUACUUGCGCAUAGUUGGUGAAGCAACACGACAAGGGUUGAGCCAUUGUAUCUUGAAGGGGAUAAGUCAGUAUUCUGCUGCAUCGGUUUAAAGGUUUUGCCAACUGCAAAGGGCUUGAAUCUCUUUAAAGAGAGCGAUAUUUUCGUGCCUCAACUUGAUCGACUCGUCAACACUUUUUAUAUUAUUUUGUAGCUAACCUCUAUUUUUUAAAUAUA
rnacentral:lncRNA from 1 species